rnacentral:rRNA from 1 species
CCCCUAGAUGUUCUGGGCCGCACGCGCGCUACACUGAACAGUUCAACAAGUCUUAACCUUGGCCGAUAGGUCUGGGUAAUCUUUGAACGCUGUUCGUGAUUGGGAUAGACCUUUGCAAUUAUGGGUCUUCAACGAGGAAUUCCUAGUAAACGCAAGUCAUCAGCUUGCAUUGAUUACGUCCCUGCCCUUUGUACACACCGCCCAUCGCACCUACCGAUUGAAUGGUCCGGUGAAAUCUCGGGACGGCGGCUUGGUCGCUUGCGUCCGACUGCUGAAACUUGAUUAAACCAUAUCAUUUAGAGGAAGGUGAAGUCGUAACA